rnacentral:rRNA from 1 species
AGUGAACGCUGGCGGUAGGCCUAACACAUGCAAGUCGAACGGCAGCACAGGAGAGCUUGCUCUCUGGGUGGCGAGUGGCGGACGGGUGAGGAAUACAUCGGAAUCUGCCCAGUCGUGGGGGAUAACGUAGGGAAACUUACGCUAAUACCGCAUGCGACCUUCGGGUGAAAGAGGGGGAUCGCAAGACCUCUCGCGAUUGGAUGAGCCGAUGUCGGAUUAGCUAGUUGGCGGGGUAAUGGCCCACCAAGGCGACGAUCCGUAGCUGGUCUGAGAGGAUGAUCAGCCACACUGGAACUGAGACACGGUCCAGACUCCUACGGGAGGCAGCAGUGGGGAAUAUUGGACAAUGGGCGCAAGCCUGAUCCAGCCAUACCGCGUGGGUGAAGAAGGCCUUCGGGUUGUAAAGCCCUUUUGUUGGGAAAGAAAUCUUUCAGGCUAAUACCCUGGGAGGAUGACGGUACCCAAAGAAUAAGCACCGGCUAACUUCGUG